ACACACAUACAUCUCGCAUACACACGUAACGCACACACGCACACAUUCUCGGUGCCUGAGUUUUCUGUGUGAGUUUCGAGGACAUUUUUGUUGAGAGACGGGUGGUCACUGUUUUUUGAGUACACUGUGCGCGAAGCCUCGCUCUAAGAGAGAGAUCGAAAGACAUAGUGUGUGCGUGAGGAAACGUUUCUUCCUAUUGUUCGGAGACUUCUCUAUGGGACGGAUGAUCGUGUGACAACGAGGGAUAUUCGACGUGAGCUGACGAUUCCCGACUCCCGACGACGAUCGACUCUGCUCCGGAGUAACGAUCGGCCAGGCGAUGAUGAUGAGGCUUCAAAGUUACCGUUGAUUCAUGGGAUAUCCUGCAGGGCUAUUCGUUUCCAGGAUGAGCGCGUCGCUGCGAAUUUUGGCUCUGAUCAGCUUAGUCGCACGAAAUGUGGCUUGGCCGCAGGACCCCAUUCCUAGACUGCACGUCAAACAUCCUGUCAUUCGCCGCGAUGACAGCUGCGAGCGACAUGAAUGCAGCCGUGACCGAUCGAGACGAUCGAGACAGUCGAGACGACCAAUCAACAUCGCGGAAAAGAGGCUUCAACGCUUCGAUAAAACCAGUAAACGUUCUUUGUACUAU